UACAGGGGGGACUAGUGUUAUUCGGAGUGACUGGGCGUAAAGGGCAUGUAGGCGGUUUAUUAUGUUAAAAGUCAAAGACCAGAAUUGUUAUUUUGGAAUAUCUUUUAAAACGGAUAAACUAGAGUUAGAAAGAGGAUAGCGGAAUUUCUAGUGUAGAGAUAAAAUUCGUAAAUAUUAGAAGGAAUUCCUAUUGGCGAAGGCUACUAUCUGGUUCUAUUUACUGACGCUGAGGUGCUAAAGCAUGGGGAUCAAACGGG
rnacentral:rRNA from 1 species